UACGUAGGGUGCAAGCGUUGUCCGGAAUUAUUGGGCGUAAAGAGCUCGUAGGCGGUUUGUCGCGUCUGCUGUGAAAACCCGAGGCUCAACCUCGGGCCUGCAGUGGGUACGGGCAGACUAGAGUGCGGUAGGGGAGAUUGGAAUUCCUGGUGUAGCGGUGGAAUGCGCAGAUAUCAGGAGGAACACCAAUGGCGAAGGCAGAUCUCUGGGCCGACACUGACACUGAGAGACGAAAGCUAGGGGGAGCGAAUGGG
rnacentral:rRNA from 1 species